GAGUUUGAUCAUGGCUCAGGAUGAACGCUGGCGGCGUGCUUAACACAUGCAAGUCGAACGAUGAAGCCCAGCUUGCUGAGUGGAUUAGUGGCGAACGGGUGAGUAACACGUGAGUAACCUGCCCUUGACUCUAGGAUAAGCCCGGGAAACUGGGUCUAAUACUGGAUAGGAACGUCUACCGCAUGGUGGAUGUUGGAAAGAAUUUCGGUCAUGGAUGGACUCGCGGCCUAUCAGCUUGUUGGUGAGGUAAUGGCUCACCAAGGCGACGACGGGUAGCCGGCCUGAGAGGUGACCGGCCACACUGGGACUGAGACACGGCCCAGACUCCUACGGGAGGCAGCAGUGGGAAUAUUGCACAAUGGGCGAAAGCCUGAUGCAGCGACGCCGCGUGAGGGAUGACGGCCUCGG
rnacentral:rRNA from 1 species